rnacentral:lncRNA from 1 species
ACUUCGCACCAUUUUAAACAUCCGCAACAAUCCGCAUCCGCAUCCGAAAACAUCCACACCUGCUCCGCAUCCGCUUAAAAAAUAUGGUUUAGAAUACGGUAUGACAACUAUCCAUCCGAAUCCGCUCCGUUAACACCCCUACAUCCUCCAUCCUAAAAAUAGAGGGUGAAAAGUAAAAAUUGAGCUCCAGCAAAAUAUCCGUCUCAUCUUCUAUUUUUAGAUGUCAUCCAUAUUUGAAGAGAGAUCGAAACUUUAUAUUUGGAUGUUCUCUCUCCAUCCUCCAAAGAAAUAUAGAGGAUGUCGUAUAUGGAUGAUCAAUGUUCUGAAGUACAAAUAGAUAUGAAUGAUGAAACUGUUUUAGAUGAUAAUUCAAAUAAAAAUAUAAAUGAUUAAAUUUAGAUGAUCUGAAGAUGACGUAAGAAACAGCAGUAGCACAAAUUGGCAAGUCGAGCGGACCAGCCUCCCUCCGUUGGGAGACCAUCAAGGGCGCCUGAGGAGACCAGCCGCCGUCGGGAAUGACGGGAGCGUGAUGUGUAGCCACCGCAUGCAUGCGUGUGGAUUGAAAUGGGGAAAUUUUUGUGGGGAAUUUAACUAUAUAAAAUUUAUCAUGCGUGUAGAAUUUUUAACUAUAUAUAUGAAUAUAGUUCAAUAUAUAUUGUUUUACCAAAUUAAUUUACUAUAUUUCAAGUGUAUUGUAAUUGCGUAAAAAAUAACGAGAGUGCAUAUAUUAUUGUGCUUUUCUUGUCCAGGUCACCGAAAAAUUCAUUUAUAAGAGUUUGAUGUUUGUGGAUAAAUGAAAAUAAUAUUUAUAAUGCAGGAUAUUGAUUAUGGAUGAAAAUAAGCCAUAUUAAUUUUUUCUAUGACAGAAGCAGUGGAGAAGCCUGCAGCAGCAGUGAAACUUCUUUCACUCCAUUUUUUUUUUGGAUUUUUCUCAAAUUCUUUUUGUCAUUUCAUUUGCUACGUGUAAGGGGCUUAUAAAUUACUGCUCGCAUGUCUCGGCGUUAGAUAUGAAAAUACCAUUGAACGCAUGCCCUUCCUUGAAGGUCUGAAUCCGAUUAAUAUUUGAUGAUGUAUUAGUGAAUGUCUCACACCUCCCAAUCAAGUUAGAAUUGCAGCAAAACUAUUGAAUUUACAGUAGGUCCAAUUGAUUGCAAAAUAUUCGGAUACCCAUACCCCCAAUCAUAAAUAAAGUACUAGCCAUUCUGCAAGAAGAUACGGUACAACUAAUAUAUAUGGUUAAAACUACUCCCUCCGCUCUCCACGAUAUAAAACUUUCUAGCAUUUCAUAUGUUCUGGAUGCUAAUGUAUCUAGACACGUAUACAAACCAUAUAUGUCAAUCAAUGAAUCUACAAAUAUAUAAACCAUAUACAAUGAUCGAUGGAUGAAUCUAAACAAGACCAAUAAAUCUUACUGUAGAACGUGAGAGUACAUAUAUAUAUAUAUAUAUAUAUACAUAUAUAUAUAUAUAUAUACAGAAGUGCAGACUGAAGGCAGUUAAGGACCAUAAGAUGUCCAUGUCCAUAUAAAUGAACACCACAGUGGUUGGAAACCAUCCUGUUUCCUAAACACCAAGAUAUCAUCAUAUCUCAUAACUAGAAUCAGGGAGAAACCUGUUUGAGUGGUUGAGCUCGCAGGCUUAGGAGACACCGGGAGCGAAGGUUAUGCAUAAUCUCACUUGCUUGCCAUUGCAUCUGUCUCUUUACAUAGAAUUCCUAUGGAACGAAGUGAUCUCCAUGAUCAGAAGGUGCACCUCGGUGUGUUGGUGUUUGGUUUAUGCC